GAUGAAUGCUGGCGGCGUGCCUAAUACAUGCAAGUCGAGCGAACUGAUUAGAAGCUUGCUUCUAUGACGUUAGCGGCGGACGGGUGAGUAACACGUGGGCAACCUGCCUGUAAGACUGGGAUAACUUCGGGAAACCGAAGCUAAUACCGGAUAGGAUCUUCUCCUUCAUGGGAGAUGAUUGAAAGAUGGUUUCGGCUAUCACUAACAGAUGGGCCCGCGGUGCAUUAGCUAGUUGGUGAGGUAACGGCUCACCAAGGCAACGAUGAAUAGCCGUCGUGAGAGGGUGAUCGGCCACAGUGGGGCUGAGACACGGCCCAGACUCCUACGGGAGGCAGCAGUAGGGAAUCGUCCGCAAUGGACGAAAGUCUGACGGAGCAACGCCGCGUGAGUGAUGAAGGCUUUCGGGUCGUAAAACUCUGUUGUUAGGGAAGAACAAGUACGAGAGUAUCUGCUCGUACCUUGACGGUACCUAACCAGAAAGCCACGGCUAACUACGUGCCAGCCGCCGCCGUAAAAC
rnacentral:rRNA from 1 species